rnacentral:rRNA from 1 species
GAGCACGAAUCAGGUUGACCUCGGAUCAGGUAGGAAUACCCGCUGAACUUAAGCAUAUCAAUAAGGCGGAGGAA